UCUUUCUUCGCGGACGAACACGCGCCAGGGGCUGAGCGCUGAGCGGUGCAUCGACUUCACGUCAGGUGCGUGCCGGCAUGUCUCUCGUGUUAGGGGCUUGUAGCUCAGUUGGUUAGAGCGCGCGCUUGAUAAGCGUGAGGUCGGAAGUUCAAGUCUUCCCAGGCCCACCAGCCUUCGCGCUUCGCUGCUUCGGCUAGGCAAGCCCUUCGAGAUGAGGGCUGCUGCGCCGCAGCCUUGGCGAAGGCGAGCGGGUAUCAACAAUGCGCUUCGUCUUCUGGUACGGGGCCAUAGCUCAGCUGGGAGAGCGCGUGCUUUGCAAGCAUGAGGUCGUCGGUUCGAUCCCGUCUGGCUCCACCAGAUGGAAUUGAAGCUCGAGAAUGCGCCUUGUGCAGGAAGCUCUGUUCAUGUCGUCCGCGAAACAUCACUUCGCACUCAUUGGUCCGGAUGGACGGUGACGUGCGUGUUUUCUGACAUCGUAAAGAGGAGAUCGAUCCGAGUUUGGAUCUGCGAAGCAAUUCGCGGGUACCAUUCCUAAUCUCCAGAUCGUUUUCGGCGCUCGCGCAUCGCGGCUCAUCGCAAGAUGAGUGGGAUGAUCGAGUUGUAAAACGAUCUUUGUAGCGAAGCUUGACCGCCUCGCUAUCGGGCCGAUCUUACGAAGCAAGCUGGUCUUUCUAGUCAAUGUCCGGCUGCGCAAUCGCAUUCAUCGAGGAUGCGUGCCUUCAGUGGCAGUUGUGCAGACAACAUUCUGCCGAGUGUGUGGACAUUGAUAAUGAGAGCAA
rnacentral:tRNA from 1 species